GGUGGAGCAUGUGGUUUAAUUCGAAGAUACACGAAGAACCUUACCUGGCCUUGACAUGGUAGGACCCUUAAGAGAUUAGGGGGUGCUAGCUUGCUAGAACCUACACACAGGUGCUGCACGGCUGUCGUCAGCUCGUGUCGUGAGAUGUUGGGUUAAGUCCCGCAACGAGCGCAACCCUCGUCCUUAGUUGCUAACAGUUCGGCUGAGCACUCUAGGGAGACUGCCUUCGCAAGGAGGAGGAAGGUGAGGACGACGUCAAGUCAUCAUGGCCCUUACGGCCAGGGCUACACACGUGCUACAAUGGGGUGUACAGAGAGCUGCGAUACCGCGAGGUGGAGCCAAUCUCUUAAAGCGUCUCUCAGUUCGGAUUGUUCUCUGCAACUCGAGAACAUGAAGCUGGAAUCACUAGUAAUCGCAGAUCAGCUAUGCUGCGGUGAAUACGUUCCCGGGUCUU
rnacentral:rRNA from 1 species